AUUGAACGCUGGCGGCAGGCCUAACACAUGCAAGUCGAGCGAGCGGCGGAAGGGUGAGUAAUGUCUGGGAAACUGCCUGAUGGAGGGGGAUAACUACUGGAAACUGUCGCUAAAACCGCGCACCAUAGGAUGAGCCCCAGGGGGAUUAGGUAGUUGGUGGGGGAAAGCCCUACCCAGCCGACGAUCUCUAGCUGGGCUGAGAGGAUGAGCAGCCACACCGGAACUGAGACACGGCCCGGACUCCUACGGGAGGCAGCAGUGGGGAAUAUUGCGCAAUGGGGGCAAGCCUGACGCAGCCAUGCCGCGUGAAUGAAGAAGGCCUUCGGGUUGUAAAGUUCUUUCAGUGACGAGGCGUUAAUCACAGAAGAAGCACCGGCUAACUCCGUGCCAGCAGCCGCGGUAAUAC
rnacentral:rRNA from 1 species